rnacentral:rRNA from 1 species
GGGUCAGUAGGUUGGUCGUGCCACCGGUACGUACUGGUCUCACUGAUUCCUCCUUCCUGAAGAACCGUGAUGCCAUUAAUUUGGUGUUGCGGGGAAACAGGACUGUUACUUUGAAAAAAUUAGAGUGUUUAAAGCAAGCUAACGCUUGAAUACAUUAGCAUGGAAUAAUGAAAUAGGACGAUCGACCCUAUUUUGUUGGUUUCUAGGAUUGACGUA